rnacentral:rRNA from 1 species
CCUACGGGUGGCAGCAGUGAGGAAUAUUGGUCAAUGGACGAAAGUCUGAACCAGCCAAGUAGCGUGAAGGAUUACUGCCCUAUGGGUUGUAAACUUCUUUUAUAAAGGAAUAAAACGAGGCACGUGUGCCUUUUUGCAUGUACUUUAUGAAUAAGGAUCGACUAACUCCGUGCCAGCAGCCGCGGUAAUACGGAGGAUCCGACCGUUAUCCGGAUUUAUUGGGUUUAAAGGGAGCGUAGAUGGGUUGUUAAGUCAGUUGUGAAAGUUUGCGGCUCAACCGUAAAAUUGCAAUUGAUAAUGGCAGUCUUGAGUACAGUUGAGGUAAGCGGAAUUCGUGGUGUAGCGGUGAAAUGCUUAGAUAUCACGAAGAACCCCGAUUGCGAAGGCAGGUUACUAAACUGUAACUGACAUUGAUGCUCGAAAGUGAGGGGAGCAAAAAGGAUUAGAUACCCCUGUAGUC